rnacentral:rRNA from 1 species
AUAUGAAGUCGUACCUGCCCAGUGACACUUUAAACGGCCGCGGUACUCUGACCGUGCAAAGGUAGCAUAAUAAUUUGCCUUAUAAUUGAAGGCUAGAAUGAAUGGUUUGACAUGGAUAAAACUGUCUCUAUAUGAUUUUUUAGAAUCUUAUCUACAGGUGAAAAAGCCUGUAUUACAUUAAAAGACAAGAAGACCCUAUCGAGCUUUAAAAAAAUUAAUAAAAUAAUAAUCACCUUAGUGGAAAUUUAAUUAUUAAAGAUUUUAGUUGGGGCAACUUAGGAGUAAACAAAACCUCCUAUUAUUAUUAACACAAAUAAGUUAUGAUCCAAACAUUUUGAUUAAAAGAAAUAGUUACCGUAGGGAUAACAGCAUUAUUUUUUUUGAGAGCCCUAAUCGAAAAAAAAGUUUGUGACCUCGAUGUUGGACCAGAAUAUCCUAAAGAUGAAGAAGUCUUUGAGGGUUGGUCUGUUCGACCAUUAAAAUUCUA